GGGGAUAUUAAAGUAUUUAUUUCUUACUUUUUGAUGAAUUUUUAGGUAUAGAUUAGAAACAACAAUGCUUGUUUUUAUGCAAACAUAUAAAUUCAUGGAGCUUUGACUUGCUGUCUAGGGUGACCUUUGCUGCUAUAUAAUCAUUACCAAAGUUAAACAAAUUUACCUAAUAAAUGAGGUAGUAGUUACGAGGGAAAUCAAAGAAAUCCAAACUAUUAGAUAAAUUGAAACAUGUCACCAUUUGUUUCAAAUAAUUUCCAUAUGUUCACAUAGUUGAAUUCCCAAUCAUUCAAACUACAUCUUAGACAUGGGAAGACAAGAGAUUCGCUAUGCAGAUAAUAGCAUAAGUUUUAGAUUCCUGGGGAAGAUAAAAUGUUGGGUGUCUAAUUUAAAUCAUGUAUAACAAGGUGAGUCAAAAGGCUGUGUUUAGAAUUUCCCAAGAACGGUGUUCCUUGUGGUUUAGCACUAGGAUGAGCACACCACUUGACAAGGACUAUCACGUCACUGCCCAAAGGUAGAGACAGUACCCUGGCAUCCAUUAAGAUGUAUGAGUAGACUCUCUACUUUUAUUUGGGAAGGAAUCCUUACAAAAAUUGGAGAUUGGAGACUGAUUGAGAUAAUGUCACUGACCACACAUCUUGGGGGGGCUCCCAGACAGUCUAGGGUCCAACAUAAGAGCUUUCCUGAGGACCUGUGGGGGGUUUUCUCAAAAGAGGCUGAUUUUGAGUAGAAGUAUGGAGUGUUGGGAGACUCUGAUCCAUGUUUGAGCAUUGGUUUGAGUUCAUACUCCUGAGAAAAGGAAACUGUGAUCUUUCUAAAUGAGCAGGAACAAGAAAAAAAAUCCUUAUAUUCUAGAGUAGUCAGUAUAUUCUAGUGGAACCCUAAGGCUAAGUCCAAGCGAAUCAAAUAAUUCCAUAGCUGUGCAAUUUUGCUCUUUUCUAUAAUGAGUAGAAAUUCAAAUUAAUAUUUACAAGAGUUUUGAUCUUGUGUACACUUGAAUGUAAAUCACUUCCUGUUUACUCCCUAGGAAGGGUAAAACAUACUUUAACAACAUUCCAUUUAUUCUAACCAGUUUAUUACUUAAAAAUAGCAUGGCCAUCACUUUGAGCUUGGCUCACUGGAUUUAAACUGUGUAAUUUGAUUGUUUAUUAUCAAUGGUGUGAUUGGUGUGUGUGAGUGUGUGUGUGUGUGUGUGUGUAUGUGAUUGAUAUGGGUAUAUAUAUAUAUAUAUAUAUAUAUAUAUAUAUAUAUGUAUAUGUAUAUGUGUAUAUAUAUAUAUAUAUAUAUAUAUAUAUAUAUAGAGAGAGAGAGAGAGAGAGAGAGAGAGAGAGAGAGAGAGGGAGGGAGGAGAGAGGUCAAAGUUUGAAUUGGAUAUCUAACUUUAUUGCACAAAAAUCUUAUUAAAUUUGACACUGUUGCUACACAUGUUUCAAUGACCCGGUGGCAGAUUUGCCUAGAAUGGCUAUUUCAGGAAGCUCAGAGACCCUCCUGUCUCUGCUUCUGCUCGACAUAUUUAUUUACACAGACAUUUUUUUCUGUACUACCAUCUUGGCUGCUGAUACCGGCUGCUACACAAGUCUCUCACCAUCUGAUAGUGACAUAUGGAGCAUAGAGAUCAUGCAUAUGACCAGGGUAGAGGUUUAAAGAACUUAAAAGAAACUACAAAUCAUCUUGGAAUAUAGGUGAGAACUAUUAACAUGCUGUUUUAAUUGAUCAGGCUUACCUUUGGUCAAACCAAGCUAGAAGCCAAAUAAUUCUGAGCAGUGGUAAAAGAAUAUUCUACUUCUCCUGGUUUGGUGGGGAAAAGAAACAAAUUGCUGCCAUCAACUGUAUACUCUCUGAAACAAAUGCAGCAUUCAAACCUCAUAAGGGAAUAAACAAAAUGGAAAUUUUGAAAUAAACUCAUAUGACAUCAUCCUUUGUUCAGCAUAUCCACACUACAGUGAGUGAGUUAUCUUGGUCUUGAUUUUAGUUAUGGUAUACUAAUUGAAAAAACAAUCUAAACCUGCAGUGGAAUGAGAAUAUCUCAGGGUAUUGAAAAGAAUCCUGGAUAAUAAAAGAACUGAUAGAUACAUUACCACCCAAGACACAAAUUUGUACCACAGAGGUCUAAUAAUAGAACCUGCAUGAUAUUGGAAUAAAAACAUGAUAUAUUGACAAAUGGAAUAGAAUAAACACUCAGAUACAAUCCCUCAAGCCUACAAACACCUGGUUUUGACAAAGACACACAGAGGACUUUCUAGGAAAAAGACAAUGAAAUGUUCUUGGGUAAACAGGACAGCAGUACAUAGAAGAAUGAAAAUAGACCUAUUUCAUAGCUCUGUAUAAUACUCAACUCCACAUAGAUCUACAUGGAUUGCAACAUUUGGUCAGACACUCUGAAAAUGAUAGAACAGACAUUUGGGGCUUGACCUCAUUGGCACAGGGAAGAACUUUCGGAUUAGUAUGCAUUAUCACUGAUAGCAUACACACUUAGAUUGACAGUUAAAAAAUGGCACCUUGUGAAGCGAAAAAAGCUUUCGUAUUCAAUUUGCUUAAAAAAGCGUUUCCAAAGUAGAACAGUAGUGACACUGCCACUGUGUAUAGUACAUUAUUAUAACUUUUCCAUUUAUUUGUGCAUACUUGUUAAUUUUGUUAUAAACUUAACUGUUAAUUUUGUUAUAACCAUAGUUAUAAACUGAACUGUACGUGGAUUUCGUGUUCAGCCCUACCCAUGGCUCUAAGCAUUUAUUAGGCCUUCUGGAGUUUGCACACUAUCACAUCAGUGUAAUCUGCUGCAUUUUCCUUCGACCUCUCCAAAAACUGAUGACAUUAGCAGUGAUUUGCAGUUUUAUAAAUUUAACAAUAUUGAGUUUAAUAGAUUAUAACCCAAGUAUUACAGGGGAAAUCUGUUAAAUGCUAGUUUUUAUUAGCUUUAUCCUUUUUGAAAUGCCAUUCUAUUCCCAUACUUGUAAAAAUUCCCUGACUCUCUACCUGCAAAAACUGGUCAGAAUCAAAACUCUGAAAUAAUUCUAGCAUCCUUGUAAAAUACUGUUUUGAGAACUCCUAGCAAAUUCGGUGGUCUGGUAUAAGGCUGAAUUUAUGGCUUAUUUUAGUUUUAUUUUACGCCUUGAUUCUACUCAGCUUGCUGAACACCAUGGUUCAGUUAAUAAUAGUUCAUUUCUGAAGUGAGUUCAACAAAAGACAGCUUUGACCAUUCUUUUAGUUUCCUUUCAUUGGUGUGACUAUCGUACAUCUUCUUUUUCUUCUAUUUUUUUUAAAGCAGAUUGUCUGGAACUCUAAGUUUUAUAAGAACUCCUCUAGAGUCUUUGGGUGAAACUAGACGAUAACAUCAAGCUACACGAUUUCUAUAAAGAGAUCUCAGGGAUACCAUUGAAGAGUCCUUUAAAUUUUGCAUUCAGCUUAAUCCAAAAAGGUUGUCUCCUUUCAAACUCCUGACAGAUACCUGUUGGGUAGAUUCUAUAGAGGAUAUUCAAUGUGAUCAUACCAAAAAUCUAGAAAGAAAUUACUUAAGCCAAGAAAGAUAGAGAAAGAUACCAAACUUUGGAGGCAACAAGCUUAUCUUUAAUCAUUAUGAUUACAUCCAUGGGUGUAGUCAAACACUGAAACAGCAAUCAAUUAUGGAAACCUUCCAAAUACCAACACUUCUAUGAUGACAGAGGAAAUGAACUAUAUACUCAUUUUUAAGAAUCAGAUUGCCUAGAAAAGAAUGGUUAAAGAUAAAUGGUUAUAAGUUAUGAAGAGGAUACAGUAGGAAUAUUCCCAGUACAGAGACAAUAUCUGGAUUUCAUCUGUGAACUUAAUGGAGACUUAGUGAAAAUCAAUGGCUCAGUCAUUCACAGACAAUGCAGAUCCAACAAACCACAACUAGCACAGACUAACACAAAACUGGGAAAUAAUUUAAGCUGGUUGGAAACUAAAAGACACCUCCUUUUCUGAAACAUAAGUGAACCCACUGCAUGAUGAUAUAUCUUGUUAAAAUAUUAGUAAGAAUUUCUAUAUUGAUUCAUUCUCUAUAUAAACAUUGUUACCUCC
rnacentral:lncRNA from 1 species